GACGAACGCUGGCGGCGCGCCUAACACAUGCAAGUCGAACGGAGUCAGUUUGAGUUUACUUAGACUGACUUAGUGGCGGACGGGUGAGUAACACGUGAGCAACCUGCCUUUCAGAGGGGGAUAACAGUUGGAAACGACUGCUAAUACCGCAUGAUGUUAUUGAGGGACAUCCUUUGAUAACCAAAGGAGAAAUCCACUGAAAGAUGGGCUCGCGGCCGAUUAGCUAGAUGGCGGGGUAAAGGCCCACCAUGGCGACGAUCGGUAGCCGGACUGAGAGGUUGAACGGCCACAUUGGGACUGAGACACGGCCCAGACUCCUACGGGAGGCAGCAGUGGGGGAUAUUGCACAAUGGGCGAAAGCCUGAUGCAGCGACGCCGCGUGAGGGAAGACGGUCUUCGGAUUGUAAACCUCUGUCUUAGGGGAAGAAAAUGACGGUACCCUAGGAGGAAGCUCCGGCUAACUACGUGCCAGCAGCCGCCGUAA
rnacentral:rRNA from 1 species